rnacentral:pre_miRNA from 1 species
AAUAGAUGACGCCGUUGACUUUUUCUCACAUGUUUGACCAUUCGUCUUAUUCAAAAUAUUUACGUAAUUAUAAUUUAUUUUGUUAUGAGUUGUUUUAUCACUCAUAAUACUUUAAGUGUGAUUUAUAUUUUAUACAUUUGCAUAAAAUUUUUAAAUAAAACGAAUGAUUAAACGUGUGAGAAAAAAUCAAUGGAUAACCGUCGU